UUUCUCUGGCAACUACAGUGAUAAGAGAGCAACCAACAGUUGGAUGGCAAAAAAUCCUACUAGACAUAUGGUCUAUUUAUACAGAUCAUUGACAGUGCCAAUCCAGUCAUCAAAUCACCAAAUCCUAUCACUUUGCGAGAUUUAAAGCGACAGACUUUAUAGCUAUUCAUUGCACCCUUAUCCGAUCAAGCCACGAGACUACUUGCAAAGUGCAUCUUGGAACUUACCACAACUUGCUACAUCGGGGG
rnacentral:lncRNA from 1 species